AGUUUGAUUCCCUCCGUUGUUUUGAGUUGUAGGAGAACGUUUCUUUUUACAACAGAACCAACAAAAACAGCACAUUCCAAUUACUCCAACAGGAAUACAAACGCUUAUAAUAAUGAUUUGUGUCCUUGCAUGAAAGAAAUAAAAAGUAUUGAGCUCUUAUGGAUUUAUCCCACGCAAGUCUCAUUGAAAGUGGCAACUGUGUAUCUUCGGACGCGGUUAACUACUCAAAAGAAUUUUAAACAUUUCAUACUCUGUACGAUGAAAUUUUUCUUUUACUUCUACAUCAUAUUCUGCUUUCGAACAACAGGCAUUAGAGGAGCAGCAACGUCUUCCAAUUGGGCAUUCCAUGUGCCAUUGACAAUAUCGACCUUACAAAACAACAUUGAACACAAUCAACAGUAUGAAAAGAAAAGUAGAAUAGAAUGUGGUCUGUUCACAAAAUAUAUAUAUAUACACCCUCCGCCUUGACAAAAAAAACAGAACAGCUAUUCAAGUUAUGGUACGAUGUAAUAAAGAACUAUAAUCAAUAGCAAACUGUAAUUUAUCCCAGCCACUCGGGGGUGUUGUGAACUGAACUAGUAGUAUUCAAGUACAUACAUUUGUUCUUACAAUAAAUCUUUCACAAUUGCGA